rnacentral:lncRNA from 1 species
GUUGACUGCCAGUUUUAGACUGGGGACAGGGAGUCGGGAAAUGCUCAACAGGCUGUAAUCGGGAUCUGAAGAUCCACAAGGAUGGUUCUUUCUCCUGCCUGUGACCAAGAAAUGGGCUAGUGUGUCCCUGAUUUCACUCCUGCUGCUUUUAAUCACGUGUCCACCGCAGACAAGGAAAAGGAGUCUGAAAGCAAAAGAGAAGAUAAAGAAAGAAGCACCUGUGGGCCGCCUGGCUAGAGGAGUGUGUGCUGGAGCAUCUGAGAGCAGGAAGGUUCGAGGUCUGAAACUGCCCUGGGUCGACCCAGCCUCCAGGGAACCAGGUGCUGCGUGCAGCAGGUCACCAGAGACAGGGCAGCAGGCUUCCCUUCACGUGUGCUUGUGGGGAGCAGCGGCCCCUGCAGAGGUAAACAGUGAUUUUUCACUCAUGACCUCUGCACACGCUCCAUUCCUUCUCGUUCCUCCCACAGCCUGGGGGGAGAGGGCCAGGAGAAGAAAACCUCUGCCUCCAACACUGCUUGUUCCCUGUUUCUGUUUAGUUUAGUUUUUAAUUUGUAGAAGUGA